GAUGAACGCUGGCGGCGUGCCUAAUACAUGCAAGUCGAGCGAACAGACGAGGAGCUUGCUCCUCUGACGUUAGCGGCGGACGGGUGAGUAACACGUGGAUAACCUACCUAUAAGACUGAGAUCACUUCGGGAAACCGGAGCUAAUACCGGAUAAUAUAUUGAACCGCAUGGUUCAAUAGUGAAAGACGGUUUUGCUGUCACUUAUAGAUGGAUCCGCGCCGCAUUAGCUAGUUGGUAAGGUAACGGCUUACCAAGGCAACGAUGCGUAGCCGACCUGAGAGGGUGAUCGGCCACACUGGAACUGAGACACGGUCCAGACUCCUACGGGAGGCAGCAGUAGGGAAUCUUCCGCAAUGGGCGAAAGCCUGACGGAGCAACGCCGCGUGAGUGAUGAAGGUCUUCGGAUCGUAAAACUCUGUUAUUAGGGAAGAACAAAUGUGUAAGUAACUAUGCACGUCUUGACGGUACCUAAUCAGAAAGCCACGGCUAACUACGUG
rnacentral:rRNA from 1 species